rnacentral:rRNA from 1 species
GUGCCUAACACAUGCAGUCGAACGGGAAUCUUCGGAUUCUAGUGGCGGACGGGUGAGUAACGCGUAAGAAUCUAACUUCAGGACGGGGACAACAGUUGGAAACGACUGCUAAUACCCGAUGUGCCGAAAGGUGAAACCUAAUUGGCCUGAAGAAGAGCUUGCGUCUGAUUAGCUAGUUGGUGGGGUAAGAGCCUACCAAGGCGACGAUCAGUAGCUGGUCUGAGAGGAUGAGCAGCCACACUGGGACUGAGACACGGCCCAGACUCCUACGGGAGGCAGCAGUGGGGAAUUUUCCGCAAUGGGCGAAAGCCUGACGGAGCAACGCCGCGUGAGGGAGGAAGGUCUUUGGAUUGUAAACCUCUUUUCUCAAGGAAGAAGUUCUGACGGUACUUGAGGAAUCAGCCUCGGCUAACUCCGUGCCAGCAGCCGUGGUAAUACGGGGGAGGCAAGCGUUAUCCGGAAUUAUUGGGCGUAAAGCGUCCGCAGGUGGUCAGCCAAGUCUGCCGUCAAAUCAGGUUGCUUAACGACCUAAAGGCGGUGGAAACUGGCAGACUAGAGAGCAGUAGGGGUAGCAGGAAUUCCCAGUGUAGCGGUGAAAUGCGUAGAGAUUGGGAAGAACAUCGGUGGCGAAAGCGUGCUACUGGGCUGUAUCUGACACUCAGGGACGAAAGCUAGGGGAGCGAAAGGGAUUAGAUACCCCUGUAGUCCUAGCCGUAAACGAUGGAUACUAGGCGUGGCUUGUAUCGACCCGAGCCGUGCCGAAGCUAACGCGUUAAGUAUC